CUCCUCUCAGAGUCGCAGCUGGAGAGUUUCCAGUACUCUACCAGCCUCGACUACAGGAGGAAGAGUCUAGCAUAGGCCGACCCAUUCCAUUCCUAGCUUGGUCAGUGGCUUGGUCAGUGAGUGGAAGGCAAUCUGCUACAAGU